AAGAUAGACAGGACCAUGGGCAGGAUGUUUAUACAGGAGAAUGUAAACAUUUUCCCUGGCCUUCUUUAAAUAAAAAAUCAAGCAAAAAGCCCCACUAGAUCAGCUAAUACUCAAACUGAUGCGCGUCCUCUCUGCGUGUUGGAUCUUUUUUUUGUUUGUUUUCUUUCACUCUCUUUGUAAAAUGAACACAAUUUGUGAAACGCAGUCUUAAUAUUUACGCUGGAGAAGUGAGGUGGAGGCGCAGGACUGUGCGUGCAGAGACUCGGACUGGACUUGAGCUCGACUCCUGCAGGCAGCCGGACGCGGAGUGAAGCAGGAUUAGAGAGAGGGAAGAGACACAGGCUCAUCUCUUGCUGCAUUCUUUCCAUUUUACUGGAGAGCCGCGAUGUACAGAAGUCUCGAGUGGGCAGGCGUGCGGCUUUGGCCACAGGAAGCCGUGAAUUCUUCACAGAAUGGAAGAUGUCUCGUGGAGAGACAUGCAACCCCCCUCCUCCUCCUCUCGAUCAACCACACGCCACCCCAAAAUGACCCCUGACCCUUUCGUCUGUUUAUAUCAGACCAUGGAAGUGAGAAAUAGUGAUGAGUCACUCUGGCCCUGUGUUUACACUCCGGAGUCACGCAAGGAAGGAAAUCAGCCACGGUCUGCUAAAUGUGGUGAGGUGAGAGAGAGAAGCUGUGAUUUACCUCUCAGAGACAUUAUUUACACGCUUUACACUCUUUUCACGUGUCUGAGCAGAACCUCCCUGAACCGUCUACAGGUGGUUCAGAAAGCCUGUGCUCGGCUUCUGACCAAGUCCUCCAAACACACCCACAUCACCCCGCUUCUCCUCCAGCUUCACUGGCUGCUGGUCAACUUCAGGGUUCAUUUCAAGAUCCUGGUUCUGGUCUAUAGGGCCUUACAUGGACAAGCACCAUCUUACACUGGUGAUCUUCUUAGUCCCUACACCCCCAGCAGGUCCCUGAGGUCCAGUGAUCAAAGCCUACUGGUUGUGCAGCACCAGGCUAAAGACCAAAGGUGACAGAUCAUUUGCUGCUGUGGCCCCCAGACUCUGGAACUCUCUCCCCCUGAGCCUGAGAUCAGUGGACUCAGUGGUCUCCUUUAAAAAGCAGCUGAAGACUCACUUGUUUAAGCUGGCUUUUGGAUGAACUUCUUCACCACUCUCUCUUUAUUCUGCUCUCCCCGCCUAUUCCACGUUCCUCAGGAUCCACUGAUUUCCCUCUUUUCUAUUCACUCUCUCUCUUUCUUAAAUUUUUUUAAUCACAAUUGUCUAUUUUUUUGCUCAUUUUAAAUAUAUUUUUAACCAUUUUCUAAAUUAUUUUUUUUAAUUUUGACAUUUUUUGUUUUUGUGAAGCGCUUCAAGAUUUUUUAGCUUGAGAGGUGCUCUUCUUCUUCUUCUUCUUCUUCUUCUUCUUCUUCUUCUUCUUCUUCUUCUUCUUCUUCUUCUUCUUCUUCUUCUUUAAUUCACAUCACCCCAGAAAGCGGCAGAAUUAGUGGCAGAGAGGACGUUAGAGGAGAUAAAAGGACCAAAACAUAAAGAAGAAACCAAGUUUUUGUGCCUGUUACAAUACCCAUGAUUUUAGUACAUAAAGCAGCAGAAUCGUUUAUUCAAUAUGACCACGGAUGAACUUUGAAGUGUUUUGUUUGAUUUUCUGUGGUGUUUUAGUUCUAAUAUGAGUCAGAAUCUCAACACAAAUGUGUUGUCUCAGAUUAUUUUGUUUAUUUUUUUUACAAAAAAAAGAAAAUUUUACUGACUAAACAUUUUCCUACACAAAUAUUUUUUAUAUUUUCAUGUCCCAGAAGAUAGUGAACUGAUUUUCAUCAGUGAAAAACAGAAGCUACAUUAUAGUCCUGUGAAAAGUGAGUUUCAUCCAGAUUUCUUCUUCUAUUUUUUUCCCCUUAGAUGUUUUAGGUCCACAAAUCUAAAUAUCACACACACACACACACACAUACACACACACACACACACACACACACACACACACACACACACACACACACGCACGCACGCACGCACACACACACACACACACACACACACACACACACACACACACACAAAACCUAAUGCAGAGAACAAUUUCAGAAAGAGGAUUUCAGUUAAAAUAACAACCUGGUAACCUGAAGUGAACCCUUAGCUUAACUCGUAAUGCAUCUCUUACAUUUCUCUGGACACAUUGCUACAUUGUAGAUUAAAUUAAGUUAAAUGGAAGGUUUUCCAGCAUGAACAGCCUGUUUAAGGUCAAAGGUCAGACAUUCUUCAUCAGGAUUUUCUGAGAGUGAACAGAAUUCAUGUCAGCAUUGAAAACAGCAAGUCAUCCCGGUUCUCACACCAUGACACUCCCACCACCAUGUUUGAUUGUUGGUAUGAUGUUCUGUUUUUGAACAAAAGUUCCAGUUUGAUUUGUGAGGAUGCAGAAUCCAGGAAGUCUUGGGGAUAAAUAGGAUCUUUUUGGGAUAAAUGUGAAAUGUGUCCUUGAAACUCCACCAUGACCUCUGACCUUUCACUACACAAGGCCUGGAAUGCAUUAGAUGUUCCUUUCUUGGAUGUGCCUGAUGCAUCCAUGAAAAGAUCUACUCCUCACUCUAAUAGUCUUAUUUUUCAUUAAUUGUUGAGGAACAAUCAGCGGCAUUGUUUCAUAUUCUAUUUGUAUAUUUCAGAAUUUGAUAUCAUGGAAAUCAGUCAAACUUCUAACAGCUGGGUCAUUGUCACGUUUCUGGUUUGGAUUGAAGCAGAGACGUUAUGAUUGAUGACAGAGUCCCAUGAGUAUUUCCACAUGCCUCUCAGACUGUUUUGACGUGAAAUUUUCAGCGUCUUCAUCAUAAUUCAGUUUAUUUUGACAGUAACAGGUGAUUGUAUCAUUUAGGGAUAUGCACAGUUAUAAUUUCACUUUGGGACUGUGCUCAUAUGUGUUUUCAUGUGUGUGUGUCAUUGCUGUAUAAACACUUGACACGUCCCGUGUCGUCCCUCAGCUUCCCAGCCAGCAUCCCGUGAGCGCUGUUUACUGCGGCUUCCACUACAUUUUCAAACACACACUCACUGUUGUCCUCCAGGCCGCUGGACCUUAAAUUGCUCAACGGCUGUUUUCAAUGCACAGCUGCAGUUAGUGAAGUUGCAUUGACUAAAUAAAAGUGACACUUUUUCAGUUUUUUUCCCCUCCAUCCCUAUUCUGGUGCUGGAAGCUUCAUUGCUGCGUGGUGAGGAUCCUUUUACACACCAUCAUGCACACCACCACAAUGAGAGAGUUAGAAUUGUAAGUGCUGUCAGGGACUUUGAUUGAUUGUUGUGUUUAUCACCAUGUUAUUAAGAAAUCAGGCGAACCACAGCUGGGCCUGAAGCUCCUUAAUUCCAACUGAAUCACACAGCUUAGUGCUAAUUAAAGAUUUUCUAAACAGGUUUAUUUUUGUGAUUUUUUUUAUUUUAAAUAUAGUUGUCUCUGUUUCUUAAGAGCGCUGAUUGUUGCAUUUGAGCCCUCUCUGGAACCUUUUAUUACCAACCUUUACUUGAAACCAUGGCAUGGUCCUAAAAGCAGACCAUCGACGUAAAAAACAGAAAAGUCUCUGUACAACACAAAAUGGCUAAUGAGCCCGCGUUCUCUGGAUAUGUCCAGAUUUAUCCUCGUUUGGUUAAUCGAGCCUGCGGCAGGCUGCCUUUGUGUAUUUCUGAGGUAAACAGAGUCACGGCGAAGUGGACACGCUCCUGAGUGCGUCCUGACUGAAGACAGAGAGCCCUGUGGACCUCUAUGUUUUUGAGGGUUAAAUGUGAUAAAUGCUCAUUUGGUAAUGGGCCAUGUAUUAGAGUUAAACAGCUCAUAUAGGAGCCCCAGUUGGAGCUGUUGUUGGGGGCGGUUUGAUCGAAGAAUCUAUCAGGUGGCAGAUGUUUCACGUCUGUCCCCCUCUCACUCUCACCCACAAAAAGGAGGAACUGAUGGAAUUUAAUUAAAUCCACUGAAAAUCAGAACAGAUUGUUAUCUCAUACGACCAUAUAAGGUCAUAUUGAAAUUUACUGAUCCUCAGGGUCAAAAUAGCAUUCACGGUGUUGCUAAACUACCUUAUUUUAUUCAGGAGAAAAUACAAAAGAGUUGUUAGAUGUAGUUGAAAAUGAGUUUACAAAAAUCAAAAUAUGGUUCAAUAUCAAUAGGCUUUCUGUAAACAUCGAUAAAAUCAAGUUUAUAGUUUUUUGUGGUAGUAAAAAAAUUGCUGAUGCGUUAUUAUAUGUUAAAGGAAAUAAGACAGAAAGAGUAAAAGAAGUAAAGUUUUUAGGUGUUAUGAUUGAUGAACAUUUAUUGUGGAAGUGCUAUUAAAAUUAAAAUAUCUUAAACUAUUACAGUACUAGAUAAGACGAAGGAAUUGUUGAACAAAAAUCUGUAUAACUCGUUAAUUCUUCCACGUCUGACACAUUGUAUUGAAGUAUGGGGAAGUACCAGCAAAACAUAGACACAUUAAUUUUUUUUUUUACAGAAAAGAGCAACGAGAGUUAUGAGUGGAAGCGGAUUUGGGGAUCAUAUGGAUCUGAUGUUUUCGCAACCAGAUCUAAUGAAAUUCGACAAAUUAGUAGAUUAUAUUUAUUAAAACUUAUGUACAAAGCAAAUAAAGGAGUUCUACCAAUAUAUAUUCAAACAGAUUUGUAAAAAGAGAAAGUAAUUAUAAUUUCAAAAUAAUUGAUGUUUAAAAAAACAAGAUUCCGAACAGCGAUAAUGAAAAGAUGUAUUUCAGUGAUAGGUGUCUGUUUAUGGGAUUGUCUCAACAAUGAAAUAAAACAAUCUAAAUCAUUUUCUGUAUUUAAAAAAAAGUGUCAAAUGCAUCUUGAUGAAGUAAUAAGACCGUAAGUAGACUGAUGGACUUGUUUGUGUUGGUGUGUGUGUGUGUGUGUGUGUG